UUCUGGGAAAUGUAGUCACGGCGCUCCGGAAGCUCGCAGGCACAGCCGCCCUUAGUAGGACGCCUGCUCAGCCAUCUUUCCCCCGUCUGAGGUGGUUCGGACGCGCUCCUGACGACACUUUCCAGCAACCCGAGACGCGCGAGGCGCCCGCAGUCCGGGCGACCCGGUGCCAUCCCCAGCGCGACCAGGAGUCGUGUACCGCCAGUCACAAGCGUCCCCGCAAAGGAGAAAGCCACGGAAGGCCAGGACUCUACAUCUCGGAGGGAAGGUGAAGAAACCAUGAGCAGGUUCAAGCCAGAGGCAGUGAUGUUCCAGGACGUGGACGUGGCCUUCUCGGAGGAGGAGCUGGGGCUGCUGGAGCCUGCCCAGCAGAAGAUGUACCAGGAAGUGAUGCUGGAGAACUUCCAGAACCUGCUGUCCCUGGUUGAGCCCCUCGCCCUCUGGAAUGGACUAUUAGGCCCUUGAGUCAGCACAGGAUCCUUCCUCAGGGGUUGAACACUUUGAGGGUCUCCAGGUCAUCACCACACCUGUGAACCUAACUUAUGUGGCAGCUGUUUUCAAUAAAAAAGGAUAACAUUUGAGUUUGUUGGGAAGAAUAGGAUAGAUACAUUGCUGCAAAAAUUGGCCAAUAUUGUGUGAUGCGAAAGAGUGGGUGGAAAUUUGUAUAGACAUUGGCAUUAAUUUGUGUUUUGGGAUGGAAAUGUAUGCAUCCUUGUUGGUGUAUAAGCAAUGGUGGUUCUUCAACAAGGCUUUUUUCCAGUUUGUGAAAUCACUGCUUUGGAAGGAUUAAUCAGCAGGCAGCAGGAACGCUGUUCAGGAGAUUGUGCCUUUCUUAUAUCCAUUUGACGUACUAGUCUUGAGCUAUUCAUGGGACUUCCCACAGUCCAUUCUGCUCAGAGAAGGCAUUUGUGAUGAGGAUCAGCCCUAGGAGAAGGGGUAGCAGCAGGACCUAGGAAUGGCCAGCCCUUGGAUUGCUUGUGUGUGGUGUCAGCCCGGUGCUUUUCUUUCUGGAGUCUUUCCCAAAGUGGGCAGGGGAAUUGGAGUAUGAUACGGCCCCCGAGCCCAAGAACCUCUGGAAUAAUCCAGGGAGGUGGUGCGGAAGUAGCCUUAAGUACACUUGUUUGAUCACUUUGAGAAGGUAGAUUUCUAGGGCUAUACUGAGUAAUAUUUUUUUCCUGAAACAGGGGUAGUAGACCAAAUACCUUUGGGACCCUUGGAGGUUACCUGAAUUUGUGUGUUGGGUUCUUUUUUUUUUUUUUUGGUUGUUUUUGUUUUUGUGUUUUGGCCACAUUCCAGAAAUACUCAGGGGUUACUCCUGCUCUAUACUCAGGAAUUACUCCUGGCACUGUUCAGGUAACCAUAGGGAUCAGAUUGGAGUUGGCCAUAUGCAAGGCAGGUGCCCUGUCCUCUGUACUAUUGCAGUGGCCCCAGGAGUGGUCAGAAUUUACAGAUGCCAUGAGAUAACCCAAAUAAUGGAGCACAUGCCCGACAAGUUUAGUAGCUUGAGUACCUACCAGUUCUCCAUUCCCCUGCCCCACCCCCAGCACUGCCAACUAUAGGGUCGGUGGUUCCUGUGUGUCACUGUGCUGGGCAUCAGCCCUGAGCACUAGUAGAAGUGACUACACCCCCUGGGGCCCUGCUGAUUGUUACCCCCAUGAAAAAGUCUGCAGAUUCUGUCACCACAUCCCCAGUGUACCAGUACAGAAAAAUAAGAUAUAGUAGACAUAUUAGUCUCACAAUGAAAAUGUUACUGGUGCCUGCUCUAGAAAAUUGAUGAACAAUGGGACGAUAGUGCUACAGUGCUACACAAACUAGCAGAAUUUUUGGUUAUACUUUGAAUACAUAUUCAGAAUACUACUUAGUAUACAUACAGAGUAUGAAUCUAAAAUGUACGUUACUGCUUCCCUUCUAGUUGGUUUAUAUUUUCUCUGUAUAACUGUUGAUUCUUCUUACUAACUACACGAUAUAAUAGCUAAGAUUUUAUAUUAACAUUGAAAUUUAAUAGAAGUGGCCAUAUGUGAUGAGUUCGAAUCAUAAUGAUUUAUAGAAAUAAAAUCUAUACUGAA